rnacentral:ncRNA from 1 species
UUUCGGGGCGGGGUGUGAUUCCCCACCGGCAGUAAAGUCUGCGACUCCCUGAAAAACGGGAUUGAUACGGUGAAAUUCCGUAACCGACGGUUAUAGUCCGGAUGAGAGAAAU